rnacentral:lncRNA from 1 species
GCCGAUAGAAAUGGAUAGUAAUAAUUCAAUCAUACAAGCUUUUUACACAUUAACCACAAAGCAAUCGAAUCAUGCAAAAAACAUAAGGACAAAAGUGGCUAAAGUCACGGCAACACUUAGAGAACUUAAUCUAAGAAUGGUAUAGAAUGAUAAUUUCUUUGAAGAUCUCUCGUCAUUUGCCAGAAAUCCUCCUGCCUGUCGCAGCCAUGUCGAAAGCUACCUUCCUCUCUAGCAGCUCCCAUGGUGGCACUUGAGAUUCGUGUUAUUCUCGAUACCGAAGAAUUGGGGGUCAGGAAUCUCCAUUGGACGAUCCUCAGCCACAAUUUCUACAUCAAAUAACUAAAUAACAGGAAUAAUAGGUCAAUAAAGUAUCAUUCAAAUAUGAAUUUCCUGUUGUCAGAGAUUGGGAAAAAAUUCAAAGAGAAGUUGAUACAAAAGCAAAUACCUCAGAUUCUGAAAGGGACAACAAAGAGAUGUCGACCCUUGUGAGUGAGAGAAUGGGCUCUCCAUCUUCCUUGGUGAAACCUCUCCAUGGGGGACAUGUUGGAUUGGAGGUUUACUGGUUGAGACCAAGGAAUCUGAAGGAAUUGGAAUAGAUCAGGCGAUACUAGUGAGCCCGAGUAAGACUGGUACUUGUGACUGAAGUCAAUCUGCAAUACAUCGAUCAAGUGUAGCAUCGAUCAAGCAAACACAGUGCAAAAUAUAUGCUGUGAUCAAGUGCUUGAUUAAAAGGAAUAACUCUGGUAUUGGACUUACACAUACCACAAGAAAGAAGGCGUCAUGGCAUGAUUGGAUCAGUGAAAGGCCACUAUAGGAAAUGACAUGGUACUAAAAAAUUACACAAUGCAUAACACAUACACCAUCAGUGCAGAACAAUAUAAACUGAACCUUUAUGAGUGUUGAAUAAUUAGCAGUAAAUAAGUAACUUCACGUUCAUUUGAUGCUUUAGUUAAUCCAAAGUUCCCAACUAACAGAAACAAGCAGCUGAUGGAUAUGUGGAGUUGCAAUCAGCUACACAAUUCAGUCAACUAGUGGUUUCCUUUCAAAGCUGUAGUACUAGGUAUGUGACAACAGUUGGAUGGUACUGUAAUUACGAUUGUUCAGAGUUCAGACAUGCAAUUCAAUGCUAGACAAAAACCUACGAAGAUUUGAAGAUAAGAUUCAGCAAACUGACCUUUCUAUCCAGCACAGCAGAAAACAAUAAAUCCCACUGCAAGAACGCACCACACACAUCAACUUCCUUGCAAUUGCAAAAAGAAAGGAAUAUGUAGAUCUAAAGGGAAGAUGUAAAGGAUGGGGGGUAUGUGGCCAGACCGUGAGGCGUCACCGGCGGAGCAAAAGACGGCGACGAG